rnacentral:lncRNA from 1 species
UAGUUUUCAUUCCAAUUGCAUAUAAAACAUCCAUACACAUAAACAAUAAACAAGUGAGAGAGUAGAUAGUUUGUUGAGAUCGUAGAUUAUCUAUGCACCCAUUAUCAUAAUUGCAUCAUCAAGGAAGACGAAAAAAAGAUACGACCUCCUUCACAUUUUUGGAUGUAUUUUCCAACACAAUGGCGCUAUAAAACCCCUGAAAUGUGCGAGGAUGAUGAGCAAGUAUGAGAAGGUUAUAAUAAGUGUUGCCACCCAAGAACACCGUAACGAUCUGUCCAUCUGCUACACUAUUCAGUAUCAAAUGAUCUUCUCCCUGUUCUUUUACUGCAUACUCCGCCAUCUCUAUCACUUUUGGAUCGUCUUUCAAUAUCGGAUUACAGGAACCAAUCACGAUUGAAGGUCCAAAUCCAGCAGUGUCCAUGACUUUAAAUUCUCUUCAAAGAAAAAUUAAACUCACUCGAAGAACUAGUAAUGGUUUGUGGUAUGUCCUAUAAUUUUGAUUAAGACUAGUUUGAUAUUUAUAGUACAUAUCAUACCAACUUAGUUCUAUGAUGAAACUUUGGUUUUUGAUCAUUAAUUAUAUUGUUAUAUUUUUUAUGAACAAUAUUUGCGUGUAUGCACCCAUGCAAGCGUGGAUGUAUGAACAUGUAAACUUUGUGUGUGAACAUGUAAAUGGUAUGAUGACAAUCCUUAUUUUUUGUGCAUAGGUUAAACUCAUGUGCUCCACCAUCUUAUGAAUCUAUAGUUAUCGUGGAAAAUUGUCGAGGAUAAAAAGAUUUAGAAAAAAACGUCUCAUAACAUCUCUUUUUUCAUAUUGUAAAUUUGGCAAAUAUAACGGUAAUCUGUUUUUAAAUUUGCUAUUUUUGCAAUUUUGAAAAUAUAAGUGAUAUGGAUUUUAUUAUCAUAAAUUUUUUUUAGUAUUUUUUGUGAACUCUCCUUUAUAAUAUAAUUUUAAUUUAUUUAUAAUAAAUGAUAUAGUUGUAAGUAGGGCAUUGUAAUAUUUUCUUUUUUAUUGAGUCGUUCACAUCUCAAAUUUGUGUUAAGAAUUUAGGAAAGUAUGUGGAGUUGAACGGUAUAGAACACGAAAAAAUAAUAACUUUUUAAAAAAACCCAUAAAAGUCCAUGUUCUUCAUAACUUAGCAUAAUUCGACUCUUUGCACCCGGAUACAAAACUUCUUAAAUCAAAUAAACUCAAUUCUACACUUUAAAACGCAAUCAAUUAUUAUCAACUAAGUUUAACUAUUUAUGUCAAACUCAACAUUCUGCCUCAAACAACUUUUAUGCGUAUUUAUAAAAGUUGAUAGGGUUCAAGCCGUAUGACCAUAUUAUUUUUAUUUUAUUUUAUUUUUAAAAAAAUAAUAUAUUAAAAAUAGAGAAAAAAUACGAAUUUAAAUAUUUCAAUUAAAUUGACAUAUCCGUGACAAAACUUCUAAACCUGCAUAGUAUAGUAUGCAUUAUCUCAAAAAAGAAAAAUACAAAAGAGUGGUAGCUAGAGAAUUGGUCCAAAGUUAUAUUCUAUUAAAGGAAAAACAAAUGACUAAGAUAGUUGUUAUAAAUUGAUAUAUUAAUUAAGAUUUUAAAAACAUUUCUAUUCAAAGGUCAGAAAAACGACUGAAAAUUGUGAAUAAAUAAGAACAUUAUCUAUAAAUUAAUAGUUCAAAAUGAAUUUGUUAUCAUGUGAUAAAUCUUGAAAAAAAAUAACUAUUUAAUAUAAGAAUGACACUAUUAAAUUGAAUGGGGAAUAACAAUGUUUUAGGAAGUUUUUAUUUAUUUUUUAUGUAAAUAUUUUUAUUUUAAAAGUUAGAUCAUACUAACUAAAUAAAUAGAAAAAUAUGUGGGAAAGAAAGGGGGAAAAGAAGAAAAGAAGAUGUGUAAUGAAGAAAAUUGUGGAUAUAAUUUUGGGAAAUCAAAAUAAAAUAAUAAACAUUUUAUUCAAAUAAUUCAAAGUUCAAAUAUUCGAUGAAAUAUUGAUAUAUUCUUUGAUUUAUAUUUGAAAAUCAAAAAAUUUCACGUGGAUAUUACAUAUCUAUGAAUAGCUUCAACAUAUUUUAUUUUAAUAAUGUUUGAAAAUAAAAAUGUCAUCUACUUAGUCAAAUAUCAAUUAGAAUUACUAUUUAUAAAUUAUCAUCAUGCUCAUCCAAUCAACUUAACGUUUUAACAUAUGAUUCCAAAUACUUUGUCUUUUCAUUCACUUCCAUUGCUCCAAUGUCACUAUCUCAAAACUCAUCAAAAUAGAUUAUAUGAUUAUAUACAUCAUUCAUGCUUGAAAGUAUAGUAAUAUAACAUAUUGGAUUAAAUUAAUUAGAACUUUUGAUAAUUCCAUUUGUUAAUUUGCAUCAUCUUUUAUUAUUAUUAAUUAUUCCUCUCGCAACAAAUUUGUGGAUUUUGUAAUAAUAUAGCUAGAGGACGAGAGGGAAAACAUAUUAUAUCUAAUGUCACAAUUGAAUCACUGUCAAAUAUUUCCAAAGAAAAAAAAAUUGUUGUAUUUCGGUUUGAGAUGUGAUUUUUUAUUAAAUACUUAUUUAAAUGACAAAACAUAUUUUUAGUCGGUGAGAUUUAGGAUUAAUGUCUAUUUGGUCUUUGAAAACAAGCACUUCAGUCUCCAUCACAAAACCACUCUUAAACAUACAUGCUAGAAAAGAACUAUAUAAAUAGAAUUAUCAUAAUUUGUUCUAAUUGAUACAAAGGACUCAUCGUGCAAGAAAAUGUUGAAGUCAUCAUGUGGGCGUAAUUCUAGAUUUUGAAUCUGUCUCAAUUUUGGGUCUAGAUAAAUUAAAACGAGAGAGAAUUUAGAUGAAAACACACCAAAAGCAUACCUGCUUUUUAUACUUUUAUUUUAUCUAAAUUUGUACUACUUUUCAUUCCAAUUGCAUGUAUAACAUGCAUACACAUAAACAAGUGAGAGAGAGUAGAUAAUUUGUUGAGAUUGUAGAUCAUUGAUGCAUCCAUCAUCAUUGCAUCAUUAACGAAGAGGAACAAAAGAUACGACCUGCUUCACAUUUUUGGAUGUAUUUUCCAUCACAAUGGUGCUAUAAAACCCCUGAAAUGUGUGAGGAUGAUGAGCAAGGAUGAGAAGGUUGUAAUAAGUGUCGCCACUCAAAAACACCUCAACGAUCUGUCCAGCUUGUACACUGUUCAGGAUCAAUUCUUCUCCCUGUUCUUUCACUGCAUACUCUGCCAUCUCUAUUACUUUUGGAUCGUCAUUCGGUAUCGCAUUCCAGGUACCAAUCACGAUCGAAGGUUGUCCAAUUCCAGCGGCAGCCAUGACCUUGAUUUCUCUUUAAAAAAAAAAAGUAAACCGGCCACUUGAAGAAAGAUAGUAAUAUGGUUUGUGGUAUGUUCUAAAUUUUGAUUAACACACUAGGUUGGUAUUUAUAGUACAUAUCAUACAAACUUAGUUCUAUUAUGAAAUUUGGUUUUUGUUAAUCAUUAAUUAAUAAUUAAAGAGGUUUUGGGAAACGUUACCACGUUUUGUUGUGGUGUUUUUUUAUUGAUUACUUCACAAAGAUGCUAAGUUGGUUAGGUCAAUGAAAUGAAAACCUAAUUCAUCUUUUAAGUCGGCUUUCACACCCAACCCUUUUCCUUUUUCUUUUUUUCUUUUUUUUUUUUCGAACUUAUAAUAUUAUUUAAUAGUUUAUUUUCAAAUAUAGAAAAAUAAUUAAAAUUGUCACGACGUGAUCGCUACACGGAGCAACCGACCUCCAUCGUUUAUUUAAUUUUAAUAAAUAAAUAGUUUUAGAGUCGCCACCAACCAUAUCAGGGUGUGAUUGGUUACCCAAAAAGGAAAAAUAAAUUGUCUCCAUAAAUUGAGAAAUUUAAGUUCGGAAGUCGGUUGUGUGUAGGUAAAGUAUUAGCACCCUACAACACCCACAAAAUGGUUACCCAAUUUUAUCUUUUAAAUUAAAUUAUAGAGGUUCACAAAACAAAGUUUUUAUUUAGGUUUUGUUUAAAUGUCUCAUGUUUAUGAAUUCAUAUCGAAGAAGAUAAAACCUAAGCAUGAAUUGAUA